rnacentral:rRNA from 1 species
UCCAGAGGGUGCGAGCGUUAAUCGGAAUUACUGGGCGUAAAGCGUGUGUAGAUGGUUAUGUAAGUCGGAUGUGAAAGCCCCGGGCUCAACCUGGGAAUUGCAUUCGAGACUGCAUAGCUAGGAUGCGGAAGAGGGAAGCGGAAUUUCCGGUGUAGCGGUGAAAUGCGUAGAUAUCGGAAGGAACACCAGUGGCGAAAGCGGCUUCCUGGUCCAGCAUCGACGUUCAGGCACGAAAGCGUGGGGAGCAAACCGG